rnacentral:rRNA from 1 species
AGAGUUUGAUCCUGGCUCAGAUUGAACGCUGGCGGAACGCUUUACACAUGCAAGUCGAACGGCAGCGCGGAGAGCUUGCUUCCUGGCGACGAGUGGCGAACGGGUGAGUAAUACAUCGGAACGUGUCCGCUCGUGGGGGACAACCAGCCGAAAGGUUGGCUAAUACCGCAUGAGUUCUACGGAAGAAAGAGGGGGACCCGCAAGGGCCUCUCGCGAGCGGAGCGGCCGAUGACUGAUUAGCCGGUUGGUGAGGUAAAGGCUCACCAAAGCGACGAUCGGUAGCUGGUCUGAGAGGACGACCAGCCACACUGGGACUGAGACACGGCCCAGACUCCUACGGGAGGCAGCAGUGGGGAAUUUUGGACAAUGGGCGCAAGCCUGAUCCAGCUAUUCCGCGUGUGGGAUGAAGGCCCUCGGGUUGUAAACCACUUUUGUAGAGAACGAAAAGACACCUUCGAAUAAAGGGUGUUGCUGACGGUACCUGAAGAAUAAGCACCGGCUAACUACGUGCCAGCAGCCGCGGUAAUACGUAGGGUGCGAGCGUUAAUCGGAAUUACUGGGCGUAAAGGGUGCGCAGGCGGUUGAGUAAGACAGAUGUGAAAUCCCCGGGCUUAACUCGGGAAUGGCAUAUGUGACUGCUCGACUAGAGUGUGUCAGAGGGAGGUGGAAUUCCACGUGUAGCAGUGAAAUGCGUAGAUAUGUGGAAGAACACCGAUGGCGAAGGCAGCCUCCUGGGACAUAACUGACGCUCAGGCACGAAAGCGUGGGGAGCAAACAGGAUUAGAUACCCUGGUAGUCCACGCCCUAAACGAUGUUAACUAGUUGUUGGGAAGUAAAAUUCUCAGUAACGCAGCCAACGCGAGAAGUUAACCGCCUGGGAAGUACGGUCGCAAGACUAAAACUCAAAGGAAUUGACGGGGACCCGCACAA